GAGAUGUUCUUAAGCAUUGUUCUACAUUUCUCCAAAACCUUCACAAACCCUAAUGGAGAGACUGUUGCCGGAGCUUCCGCCGGAGGCGAUCACCGAGAUACUCUCUAGACUGCCGGUGAAACCACUUCUCCAAUUCAGGUGCGUAUACAAACCAUGGCGUUCCCUAAUCGACAGCCCAAACUUCAUCAAAAUGCAUCUUAAUCGAUCGAUUCAAUCCCGAUCCAAUCUCUCCCUCAUUUUCUAUGACUUUAACGCACCCAUCCCAAACCAACUAUGCUCCGUAGAUUUCGAUAAGCUCGACAUAGCUUUUAAGCUCAAUCCACCACUCACGUUUGAGAAACGAUUGGAUAAAGUUUGGAAUUCCUGCAAUGGCUUGCUCUGUUUGUCUUUCGGAGAGGGACAAGCUAUUUUGUGAAACCCAUCAACUCGAAAGCAUUUGGAAUUGCCGGUCUCCUGACCGAAACCCCUGUGGAUUUCCGUGGUGUGCUGGUUAAUCUUUUUGGACUUGGGUACGACUCAGUGAGUGAUGAUUACAAGGUGAUGAGGAUUGCCCGGAUUAAUGAUUACAGAUUUGUGCAUUAUGAAUCCGAAGUUAGGGUUUAUAGUUUAAAAUGGAAUUCUUGGAGGAAAGUUGGUGAUUUUCCUCAUCACCUUGAACUUGAUCUUUGCACUGGCUAACUUGUUGGUGGAGCUUUGCGUUGGAGUGUGAAUCCAAAACCAAUGUUGCGUGAGGAUGGACCUCACGCUCUUAUUGCAUUCGAUCUUGGGGCGGAGGAAUACCGAAUGGUGUCCCUACCCGAGUGUGGGGCUGUUGAUUUUUAUUUGAAGUUUGAAGUCUUGAAUGGAUGCCUUUGUGUGCGUCACUAUUAUCUCAAGAAGGGUGUUGAUUUAUGGGUGAUGAAGGAGUAUGGAGUGAAGGAAUCUUGGACUAAAUUGAUCUGCAUUGAGCAAUCGAAUAUAAGGUUUGCUAUUUAUUUGGAGCCCUUGCCAUAUUCAAAGAAUGGUAAGAAGGUUCUCUUCCAACUUGACUUUUGUUCGUUUCGUUGGUAUGACUUAGAAAAGAAGACAAUUGAGAUGGUUGGGAUUAAUGGUGAGCCAGAUCAUUUCGGAACAACUGUAUGCUUGGGUAGCCUUGUCCCACUUGAUGGUGGUCGUCCGGAUGAUAGCAAGGACCAAGCAACAAAAGACAAAAAGAAGGAAAAGGUCAUUAGAAGGUUGUAAGACCCUCUUGAAAUUCUCAUACAAAAUGGAACGAAGAGAAGAAACAGAGAACAUAUAUGCAUGGAUGGAAAUGAAGGAUUGUGAUUCACCUUGAAUGGUAAAAGAAAUAACAGAAGUAGAAAGACGUUGUUUCCAAUCUGAAAUCUAAUGAAUGGUAAAACUGUCAAGAUAGAAAGUUAUGAUUUCCUGUCAAAAGAGGUUCAAGCUGCUGCUGUAAGCCACUGCUAGAAGGAGCAAGAAGGUGUUGAGGAUUGAUGCUGAAGCAAUGGGAGAGUAGUUCUGUGUUAGAUAAUAAGUUGUCAGAGAAAACAGAAAGAAUGAGAAGGUGCUUCUUAUGAUGUCGCAGCUUUAUUUGUGGAGAAAGUAAGGUUAUGUCUUCUAAUAAAAGAAUUCCUGUUUCUCUUUUUGUAUUGAAAGUUGAGAUUUAUUGUGGUUCCCAACAGUUUAUUAUGCUUUCGUAACUGUAUCUCCGUAUGUUUUUGAAAGCUAAGAUUACUAUGGUUCCUAGCACCUUAAAUGAUGGCAUGGUUGAAUC